rnacentral:tRNA from 2 species
AUCGGGCCCAUACCCCGAAAAUGAUGGUUCAACUCCUUCCCCUGCUA